GACGAACGCUGGCGGCGUGCCUAAUACAUGCAAGUCGAACGCAGUGGGGACGGGAUAGUAACACGUGGGCAACCUCCCCAUCAGAGGGGAUAACACUUGGAAACAGGUGCUAAACCGAUACUGAUGGAUGAACCCGCGGUGCAUUAGCUAGUUGGUGAGGUAACGGCUCACCAAGGCAACGAUGCAUAGCCGACCUGAGAGGGCGACCGGCCACACUGGGACUGAGACACGGCCCAGACUCCUACGGGAGGCAGCAGUAGGGAAUCUUCGGCAAUGGGCGAAAGUCUGACCGAGCAACGCCGCGUGAGUGAAGAAGGUUUUCGGAUCGUAAAACUCUUUUGUUAGAGAAGCGGUAUCUAACCAGAAAGCCACGGCUAACUACGUGCCAGCAGCCGCGGUAAUAC
rnacentral:rRNA from 1 species